GUGCAGCCGCCGCGGUAAUACGGAGGGUGCAAGCGUUAUCCGGAUUCAUUGGGUUUAAAGGGUGCGCAGGCGGAUACUUAAGUCAGUGGUGAAAUCCCGGGGCUCAACCCCGGAACUGCCAUUGAUACUGAAUAUCUGGAAUACGGUUGAAGUGGGCGGAAUGUAGCAUGUAGCGGUGAAAUGCAUAGAGAUGCUACAGAACACCGAUCGCGAAGGCAGCUCACUAAGCCGAUAUUGACGCUCAGGCACGAAAGCGUGGGGAGCGAACAGGAUUAGAUACCCUGGUAGUCCACGCCGUAAACGAUGAUAACUCGUUGUUGGCGACACACAGUCAGCGACUAAGCGAAAGCGAUAAGUUAUCCACCUGGGGAGUACGAUCGCAAGGUUGAAACUCAAAGGAAUUGACGG
rnacentral:rRNA from 1 species